AUACUCACCUGGCAGGGGAGAUACCAUGAUCACAAAGCUGGUUUUCCCAGGGUGAGGCUUAUCCAUUGCACUCUGGAUGUGCUGACCCCUGUGAUUUCCCCAAACGUGGGAAACUUGACUGCGAAGUUUGUAGUACUGGGGGACAAGAAAAAAAAAAGCCCUGA